ensembl:lncRNA
GCUAGAACAGUGCAGCGCAGAUGGAAUUCUAUAACAGUACAGUGCAGAUGGAAUGCUAGAACAGUGCAGUGCAGAUAGAAUGCUAGAUCAGUGCAGUGCAGAUGGAAUGCUAGAACAGUGCAGUGCAGAUGGAAUGCUAGAACAGUGCAGUGCAGAUGGAAUGCUAGAACAGUGUAGUGAAAACUGUUCUAGUUCUAACUCUUGUUAAAGUGACUCCCUGUGAUGUCACAGAGGCGAGAAGUGGUACAGUUUUUUUUACAGAAGAUAAUUAUCUCACCGG